rnacentral:rRNA from 1 species
GUGGGGAAUAUUGGUCAAUGGGCGGAAGCCUGAACCAGCCAUGCCGCGUGAAGGAUUGAGGCCCUAUGGGUCGUAAACUUCUUUUGUGGUGGAGCAAUAAGACGUACGCGUACGUCGAUGAGAGUACAUCACGAAUAAGCAUCGGCUAACUCCGUGCCAGCAGCCGCGGUAAUACGGAGGAUGCAAGCGUUAUCCGGAUUUAUUGGGUUUAAAGGGUGCGUAGGCUGUUUGGAAAGUCAGGGGUGAAAGCCCGGCGCCUAACGCCGGAACUGCCUUUGAUACUUCCGAGCUGGAAUACGGAUGCCGUGGGAGGAAUGAGUAGUGUAGCGGUGAAAUGCAUAGAUAUUACUCAGAACACCGAUUGCGAAGGCAUCUCACGAAUCCGUCAUUGACGCUGAGGCACGAAAGCGUGGGGAUCAAACAGG